rnacentral:rRNA from 1 species
GACGAACGCUGGCGGCGUGCUUAACACAUGCAAGUCGAACGGAAAGGCCCUGCUUUGGUGGGGUGCUCGAGAGGCGAACGGGUGAGUAACACGUGAGUAACCUGCCCUUGACUUUGGGAUAACUUCAGGAAACUGGGGCUAAUACCGGAUAGGAGCUCCUGCUGGAGGGGGGGGGUUGGAAUGUUUGGGCGGGUGGGGAUGGGCGCGCGGCUUAUCAGCUUGUUGGUGGGGUAGUGGCUUACCAAGGCUUGGACGGGUAGCCGGCCUGAGAGGGUGACCGGCCACAUUGGGACUGAGAUACGGCCCAGACUCCUACGGGAGGCAGCAGUGGGGAAUAUUGCGCAAUGGGCGGAAGCCUGAUGCAGCGACGCCGCGUGCGGGAUGACGGCCUUCGGGUUGUAAACCUCUUUCGCCUGUGACGAAGCGUGAGUGACGGUAAUGGGUGAAGAAGCACCGGCUAACUACGUG